rnacentral:rRNA from 1 species
CCCUUAGGUGUUCUGGGCCGCACGCGCGCUACACUGACGGAGUCAACGAGUUGUCCUGCAUCGGAAGGUGUGGGUAAUCUUUUGAAACUUCGUCGUGCUGGGGAUAGAUCUUUGCAAUUUUCGAUCUUGAACGAGGAAUUCCUAGUAAGCGUGAUUCAUCAGAUCGCGUUGAUUACGUCCCUGCCCUUUGUACACACCGCCCGUCGCUACUACCGAUUGAAUGGUUUAGUGAGGCCUCGGGACUGGCGCGCUCGAGUAGCAAUACACCUGCGCGCCGGGAACUUGGUCAAACUUGAUCAUUUAGAGGAAGUAAAAGUCGUAACA